CUUCCGCGCGGAUUUACCGCACGGAAGAUCAAGACCUCGGCGGGCUUUUUGAAGUGACCGACUCUCGAGAAGGUCACUCUGAUGUUACUCUUUGCCGCCUUCCUCACUCCGAUAGCUAAACGGGAUAAGAGAUUUGAUUUCAAUUUCGCUAAAUUUCGAGGAAAAGCGGCACUUCAGAUU
ensembl:ncRNA ZK381.35 ncRNA